CUGAUUUUUAAAAAGCCUCUGCUUUAGCAAAAUCUCAACUGUCUUUUAAGGUGAAAUAUUCUAAAAGGAGCAUGAGGUUUUACAGAUCGACAGCUGUGAUCUCCCACAUGUGACUGAUGUCUGUGUGUAGCAAGUGACUGCCAUCAGUGAGAACCCAGCCCAAACACAGAAGAAGAUGGCUGCUCACUGUUUCGGGGCUUCUCCUCAUCCAUGCCUUCGUCCUCGUUCUCCGGGUCAAUGUCUUCGGCCUGAGUGAUCCAGUCCAGAGGCCAUGAAGGCACAAGGAGAAGUGCCCUUCCUGCCUGGACAGCUGCUUGAGGCUGGGAGGGGCUGGGUGGACCCAGCCUUUGUGGUGAAGCCAGCUCUCCUCCAUUGUUCACCACCAAGACCAGAGGCACAUCUGAUCCUUUACCCAGCCAGGACAAGGACAUUCACUUCAAGGCUCCUGUGUUGACCCCUAUCCCAGGUUCAUCAGAGUCAGAAAAAGAAUGCAGCCAGGAA